UUAGAGGAAGUAAAAGUCGUAACAAGGUCUCCGUAGGUGAACCUGCGGAGGGAUCAUUACAGAGUUCAUGCCCUUACGGGUAGAUCUCCCACCCUAUGUUAUUAUUACCUUUGUUGCUUUGGCGGGCCGUCAGGCCUCGGUCAGGCUAUCGGCUCCGGCUGGUAAGCGCCCGCCAGAGGACCCAAAAACUCUGAAUGUUAAUGUCGUCUGAGUACUAUAUAAUAGUUAAAACUUUCAACAACGGAUCUCUUGGUUCUGGCAUCGAUGAAGAACGCAGCGAAAUGCGAUAAGUAAUGUGAAUUGCAGAAUUCAGUGAAUCAUCGAAUCUUUGAACGCACAUUGCGCCCCUUGGUAUUCCGAGGGGCAUGCCUGUUCGAGCGUCAUUACAACCCUCAAGCAUUGCUUGGUAUUGGGCUCCGCUGCUCACCCAGCGGGCCUUAAAAUCAGUGGCGGUGCCGUCGAGGCCCUGAGCGUAGUAAAUAUCCUCGCUAUAGGGACUCGGUGGACGCUGGCCAUUAACCCCCAACUUUCUAAGUUUGACCUCGGAUCAGGUAGGGAUACCCGCUGAACUUAAGCAUAUCAUA
rnacentral:rRNA from 1 species